rnacentral:rRNA from 1 species
CAGUAGCCGCGGUAAUACGAAGGGUGCAAGCGUUAAUCGGAAUUACUGGGCGUAAAGCGUGCGUAGGUGGUUUGUUAAGUCUGCUGUGAAAUCCCCGGGCUCAACCUGGGAAUGGCAGUGGAUACUGGCAAGCUAGAGUGUGUCAGAGGAUGGUGGAAUUCCCGGUGUAGCGGUGAAAUGCGUAGAGAUCUGGAGGAAUACCGGUGGCGAAGGCGGCCCCCUGGACAAAGACUGACGCUCAGGUGCGAAAGCGUGGGGAGCAAACAGGAUUAGAUACCCCAGUAGUCCCUGUCUCUUAUAA